rnacentral:rRNA from 1 species
GUGGGGAAUAUUGGACAAUGGGCGAAAGCCUGAUCCAGCCAUGCCGCGUGUGUGAAGAAGGUCUUCGGAUUGUAAAGCACUUUAAGUUGGGAGGAAGGGCAGUAAGUUAAUACCUUGCUGUUUUGACGUUACCAACAGAAUAAGCACCGGCUAACUUCGUGCCAGCAGCCGCGGUAAUACGAAGGGUGCAAGCGUUAAUCGGAAUUACUGGGCGUAAAGCGCGCGUAGGUGGUUUUGUAAGUUGGAGGUGAAAUCCCCGGGCUCAACCUGGGAACUGCCUCCAAAACUACAUGACUAGAGUACGGUAGAGGGUAGUGGAAUUUCCUGUGUAGCGGUGAAAUGCGUAGAUAUAGGAAGGAACACCAGUGGCGAAGGCGACUACCUGGACUGAUACUGACACUGAGGUGCGAAAGCGUGGGGAGCAAACAGGAUUAGAAACCCCUGUAGUCC